UACGAAGGGGGCUAGCGUUGUUCGGAAUCACUGGGCGUAAAGCGCACGCAGGCGGAUCGUUAAGUCGGGGGUGAAAUCCCGAGGCUCAACCUCGGAACUGCCUUCGAUACUGGCGAUCUUUGAGUCCGGGAGAGGUGAGUGGAACUCCGAGUGUAGAGGUGAAGUUCGUAGAUAUUCGGAAGAACACCAGUGGCGAAGGCGGCUCACUGGCCCGGUACUGACGCUGAGACGCGAAAGCGUGGGGAGCGAACAGG
rnacentral:rRNA from 1 species